AAGUCGUAACAAGGUAACCGUAGGUGAACCUGCGGUUGGAUCAUUAAAAAAAACAACUUUUUUAAGAGUCUUUUGUGGGAAUAAAGUACCCUCAAGAUUCUUAAAAAUAAACACCUGUGCACUUUAUGUACUUUGGGCUAUAAUUAUUUAUAGCUCAGAAUUUUAAAAAACCCCUAUUGACUUUAGUCUGAAAAUAUUAUAUUAAAAAAAUAAUAACUUUUGACAACGGAUCUCUAGGCUCUC
rnacentral:misc_RNA from 1 species